AUUCUAUAAUUCUGCUGCAGUCCAGAAUGCAUAAUUCUGCCACACGUCGAAAGACUACCAGAAAGAAUUUGUAGUUAAUGGGCAACUGUGGGAUAUUUGUUUCCCUUCUGCAUUAGAAAUAUAAUCAAAGGUAUGAAAAUCCAAAUUUGUUGUGAACGAGGAGAAUGAGAGUGAUACUCACAGAGUCUAUCAUCUAUUUGUGUUUGGGCUGGAAGCUGACUUUUUUUCAUUUCUGGGACAAGCCACUUAAUCACAUGUGAGUUAAAAGCACUGACUGUCCAAGAGAGGACACAUUCGGGAACAAUGCAAGCACAGGCUAUCUUUCCUGACGGCAUGGCCUUGCUUGUUCAGACUGAUCCUUGAUGCAUAGGCUCAGAGGAGAAACCUCAAGAUAGGAGAGAAUGAAUCUGUCAGAUUCAUUUUUCUUCUUUUUCUUGAGGGUGAAUUUAUUUUUCACGUUUUGAAAGGAGUGUGUGACCACAUUGUGACAAAGUCCUUUUUCCCCUGGAAUCAUAUUUCCAUUUUCAUUUCUAACAAAGCACAUAUUUGAGUCUUGAUAUCUCAUUGGUUCAUCUCUCUCUGUCCUAGCAAUCCCUUUGCAUUUCAGAUGUUAUGCCAAAGAAAGAAUCGUGAAUGCAGCUCAUAAUGGUGAUGGAUUACAACGUGCGGAAUCAUGGCUAGUUCUACAUUUUAGGAGAGAGGGAGUCUGGUUGGCAAAGUUUGCCUCAGCCAAGUGCCUGCCUCUUUGAUGUGUCCAGGCAGUGAGGGUUGGAAUCUGGCCAGUGGAGCCUGGAGGAGGUGCCUGAGCUUCUACAGCAAAUGAGUAGGUGCCUGGACUAAUGUCCUACCCCAAAUGCACACAAUGCAGGGAGGAAUUCCCUAAAAGGAAAUUAAGGUGCUUCAAGAAAGGGAAAUAGACACGGGGGGUUGGGGGCUCACAUAUUUCAAAAAUAGUUCCUUUUAGUACUUUCUAGUAGGCUGACCUAAGAACUCUAAUUUUUUUUUUCCCUAAAGCCAAUGGGAAUAGCAGUUAAAUUUAAAUUUUAGAAAGAUCACUCUAGUUGUUAUUGGGAUAAUGGAUUGAAAGGGGCUGAAUCUGAAGAUCAGGAGAAUAGCCAGGAAACUUUGAAAUACCCUACAUGAUGGGUGACUGUGUGAACUGAGGGA
rnacentral:lncRNA from 13 species